UGCAUUUUGCGCGACGAACAUGUUUUCGUCGCGCAAACGUUUGUCGCGCAAAUAGUAAAACGUAGUAGUGUGUUAGAUUGGUUUUCUAUUUUAUUUUUAAUUCUCUAACUCUUUAUAUUUGCAGUUUUUAUUCAAGUUUGUUUUGUGUUUCUUUUUGUUUCCUAUUCUACCCUUAUGUUGAAUUAAGGUUUUAAUAACUGAAAUUUUUAAAAAAUAAUAGAAAAUAAAACCAAAAAAAAAAGGAAAAAAAAAAGAAAAAAAGAAAAGAAGCACAUCGUAUCUUUUCC
rnacentral:lncRNA from 1 species